rnacentral:rRNA from 1 species
CUACUACCGAUUGAAUGGCUUAGUGAGGUCUCCGGAUUGGCUUUGGGGAGCCGGCAACGGCACCCUAUUGCUGAGAAGCUGAUCAAACUUGGUCAUUUAGAGGAAGUAAAAGUCGUAA